rnacentral:rRNA from 1 species
AUUGAACGCUGGCGGCAUGCCUUACACAUGCAAGUCGAACGGCAGCACGGGUGCUUGCACCUGGUGGCGAGUGGCGCACGGGUGAGUAAUACAUCGGAACAUGUCCUGUAGUGGGGGAUAGCCCGGCGAAAGCCGGAUUAAUACCGCAUACUAUCUACGGAUGAAAGCGGGGGACCUUCGGGCCUCGCGCUAUAGGGUUGGCCGAUGGCUGAUUAGCUAGUUGGUGGGGUAAAGGCCUACCAAGGCGACGAUCAGUAGCUGGUCUGAGAGGACGACCAGCCACACUGGGACUGAGACACGGCCCAGACUCCUACGGGAGGCAGCAGUGGGGAAUUUUGGACAAUGGGCGAAAGCCUGAUCCAGCAAUGCCGCGUGUGUGAAGAAGGCCUUCGGGUUGUAAAGCACUUUUGUCCGGAAAGAAAUCCUUGGCCCUAAUACGGUCGGGGGAUGACGGUACCGGAAGAAUAAGCACCGGCUAACUACGUG